AUUGAACGCUGGCGGCAUGCCUUACACAUGCAAGUCGAACGGUAACAGGUCUUCGGAUGCUGACGAGUGGCGAACGGGUGAGUAAUACAUCGGAACGUGCCUAGUAGUGGGGGAUAACUACUCGAAAGAGUGGCUAAUACCGCAUGAGAUCUACGGAUGAAAGCAGGGGAUCGCAAGACCUUGUGCUACUAGAGCGGCCGAUGGCAGAUUAGGUAGUUUGUGGGAUAAAAGCUUACCAAGCCGGCGAUCUGUAGCUGGUCUGAGAGGACGAUCAGCCACACUGGGACUGAGAAACGGCCCAGACUCCUACGGGAGGCAGCAGUGGGGAAUUUUGGACAAUGGGCGCAAGCCUGAUCCAGCAAUGCCGCGUGCAGGAUGAAGGCCUUCGGGUUGUAAACUGCUUUUGUACGGAACGAAAAGCCCCGGGUUAAUACCCUGGGGUCAUGACGGUACCGUAAGAAUAAGCACCGGCUAACUACGUGCCAGCAGCCGCCGUAA
rnacentral:rRNA from 1 species